ACUAGUAAAAGCAUAGAACACUAGACUGAUAGUAAUAAUGACCUACAGUAAGAGAUCAUAUAUUGCCACAUGAAAUAAUUCAUGAUUACAUAAUAAUGGCCUACAGUACUAGCAUCAUCACAUAUACUCGACGUGAUGUACAUAGUGAUACUGAUAUACUAAUACAUGAAUUAGAAUAAAUAUCACUAUAACUGCCACACUUGAAUUUGAAAUCAACCAAGUAAUAAUAAUCCAGUUAAAUUCCCACUUGAUCAUCUAUGACAUUUCUCAGCGAAAACCCCUUCAACCACAAUUGUAGAAAAUUGAUAUCAUGAGAGAUACACUCAUCGUGAUCUCCAAUUCACCAAUAUCGCUUUUAGUUUCUCUAUAUCACUUUCACUUGCUGCACACUGACAAAAAGCCCAACCUAUACAAAAUAAAAAAUCAAAACCAACCGCCACAAACAAGAAUGAGAAAGAUAGGACCAAUCCAAAUUGAACAACAAAGAGUAGAAUCAAAAUAACUCAAUCCAACAAAAAUAAAUAAAGGAAGUGGAACCAACAUUGUUAACAAACGUGAUUAAAAAUACUAAAAAACAUAAUUAGUUAAACUUACCUAAAAGUUUAGAUCUACAUUCUAUAACUAUCUAACUUUUUCUUACUUAAAACCGAAAUAACUAAGAUUAAAAAGGACCAACAUGAGGUUGACUCAAUUGAGAUCAAUAUCGUAGAAGAUUAGAAUAUUUGAAUUGAUGUUUCGAAUCCUUCCUACAUAUUUUUUUUUAGAAAAAACUAAGAUUAAAAGGAAAUGGGUUUUCUUUGUUUAAAUAAAAAGGAAAGAGUUAUAGAAUUAGGCAAGGACAAAAGUAGGUAAAUAGGUUUGGUUCAAAUUUUAACAAAUAUUAGAUUAAGUGAAUUUGACAUAAAACUUUGAUAGUUGAUUACCACUUUUCCUAAAAUCUACCUUUAUUUGUCCAUUUCCCUUCAAAACCAAACUUUAUUUUCAAAUAGAUUUUUAAAAACACCCUUAUCCUUUUUCUUUAACAGAAAAAAUUAAAACAAAAUACUAAGAUCUAUAUUUCAUAACCAUUUAAUUUUUAUUUUUUAGUUUCUUCUACUUUUAAAUUUAUUCAAUUGUUAUAUACCUCUUUUCCAAUAAUAGUUUAAAAAAAGUAAGCCAAAAUUUAAAAACUAAAGUGGAAAAUGAGUAGAAAAUGAGGUGUAAAAUAUAGUGUUGAAAGGGUAUUAUUGGGGAUAUAUAUAUUAUGUUGUUUUGAUGAGUUAUACUUGAAGGUUAUUUGUAAACAUAUAAUCAUUGAUGAUCCAAAUAUUAAGAAGAUUUAAAGAAGAAUGUACAAUAAUAAUAAUAAUAAUAAUAUAAAAAGAUGAGUCUUUGAUUUUAUGUUGACAAUCAGGUCGGUGUUAUAAAGUUAUUAAAAAAGAAUUUUUGUGAGUGCGUAUUUAAUAUGAAUGAGGAAAAAGAGAAGGAAGAUAAAAGAAAAGAAAAGAGUGAUGGAGCAGAACAUGCGGAGGCGGAGGCGAAGGCGUGUAGUUUUGUUGACUACUUGGUUAAAGAGCAUUGAAAAAUCAAAACGGGUGGCGUUGCGCCGAAUUUUGGUGACACCCAAACCCAUGGUUGCGCCCCAAAAUGAGGCAUUCUUUUUCUUUUUAAUUCUUCUUUCCUCACCUUCUUUUUCCUUAUCUUCUUCUUCUUUUCUUCUUUUCUUCUUUUCUUCUUUUCCUUUCAAAUUGAGUGAAUUUGUAUGUUCACGUCUAUCCCACUCCUCUCUUUUCAUUCCAAAAUCAUAACAAUUUCAAUUCCCACACCAAACCUUUUUUAAAAUCUUCAUUUUCUUUUUUCAUUUAUAAAUAAUUAAGAAAUGGAAUCGGGACAAACUUGUUUUCUUAAAAAAUGAAUAUAGAAACAGAAAACAAUAACGUUUCCAACCUGACCCUUACGUUUAGUUUCUCAUAUUAAACGAUUAAAUUUAAAUCUAGACUAUUUUUUAAUAAUUUUUUUGAUUUGGGUUGGCAAAUCUCAACCAUUUUUUUGGUAGAUUUGAUAGUUUAAAAUUGUCGAAAAGGAGAGGAAAGAUGAUGAAAAGAAAUAAUACUUUCAAACAUCAUAAAGAAGAAAAUAGAAAAUAAUGAAGAAAAAAUCACGAAGAGGAAGAAUCGGAAUUGAAAAAAUUAUUAUAAACCAUUAAUGAUAAAUAUGGAGUUUUGAGCUUUUUCACAAAUUGUUUUAUGGGCCAUAAAUAUUUUACAGAUUUAUUCUAUUUGUUAGGACAAUUAAGUAUAUAACAACAUUCAAAUUUUUUUUAGUUAUAGCAAAAUCUUACCGUAGUAUGUUUAAAAUAAAUCAUAUCAUACUAUUUUAAAAGAUAGGUACAAACAUGAUAUAUUUCGAGAGAAAACUUUUCAUAUUUAUCAAAUAAUCACAUAUGUGUAUAUCGUUAUAUUUAUGCGUAUAUUUAUUUAUCUAACAAUUAUAUGUUAAAAGCUGGAUAGAAUAGAUCAGAAUAAUACCAUAAAAUUGAGACAUUAAUUUGGAUGAAGGAGAUAUUGUAGAGUGAAUUAGAAGGUGAAAUUAAUUAGUUGAAACCUAAACCAUAUAUUGGGG
rnacentral:lncRNA from 1 species